AAGUCGUAACAAGGUCUCCGUAGGUGAACCUGCGGAGGGAUCAUUAAACAAAUCAAAUAAACCAUGAAAGAUUAACAUGAGAAUAAUAGUGUAAACUAUAAUCGAAUGUUAAUCUUUCUCAAGGUUGUAUAAAGAGAAAUUUGUGUAAGCAAAAAGUAUUUUUAUGCAGGAGUUAAUGUUGAUUUUCAAGUAUAUAUAAGAUUUCAUCUUUUGUUGCUUGAAGUUGAUAUUGCUCUAAUAAAGACAGCAGCAUCGCUAAACGCGAAGAUCUGUCUUUAUAACAAACGAUAUAUUAAAUUGACAAAUAAUGACAAAAUUUAAAUAAUCAACUUUUAACAAUGGAUCUCUUGGCUCUUAC
rnacentral:misc_RNA from 1 species